UGUAUGCAGGGAUUGAUAUGUAUAAAGGAGUACUGGUAGAAAUGUUUUGCCCGAAGUAUAUUCAAAUAUCGCGACAUAAUUAUCACGCCGAUGACUGACCGUAUUGUACGCGACGGUGUUUGAUGUUUUAUAUGGUUAUUAUUGUUGGUUUGCUGCCUUGUCGGGCCACCCCGAGCGUCGGAACCCGAUGAAACGUUUCGCCCCGGUCGUCGUCCUCGCGUUGUGUGUAUAUACGCGCAGUAAUAUAUAAAGUAAUAAUAACACACGGCAAGAGUUCGGCUGCCGUCGCCGCCGUUGUCGGAUGCGUUCCGCACCGGUUGUCCCGCCGCGCAAGAGACCGGUUCGAUUCUCGGUUUAUGACAAAGCGGGGGCCCUGGUGUACUGCUCGUAGGCAUGAUAAUAUUAUAUUAUAUGUAUGUAUAUGCUCGCGUGCGUAUAUUGCAGAAUAUAUACAACACAACAACACGGUGUAUGUAUAGGUAUAUAUAGGUGUACGUUAAAGGUUUUCGGACCGAUUUCAUACGUCGUGAAUUACGACUACGCGGUAACACGAAACGGGUUUUUAUUAUGAUUAUUUCAUUUCAUCUAUCGCAAACCAAAUACCAAUCUGAAUUUUUUCACUCAAAAUCGACAAUUUGACCGCAGACCACCGAUUAACAUGCUGCGUGAGAAUUGAGAAUUCACUGUGGUAUCGUCAUCCAUAAAACACCGUAUAUUUAUGCGUUGUCUUAUAAGUCGUUAUUAUUGUAAUAUUUGGUGUCGUCGUCGAGUUUUUGGACAAAGUCUUCAGUGAAAAAUUGAUCGGCAUUUCGCACAACGUGUCAACGUACAAUACAUAUUAUAAUAAAUACAAUAAUACGUAUAAUAAUGUUAUGUAUUUUUUAACCUACGAUUUUAAAAAUCGAUCGGCUCUGCAGGACGCUCUUGAAUUGCGCCGAGUCACGAGAAAUAAUUAUUUAGUAUUCGACCUAAAAACGACGACACACCCGGCGCGCGCGUUCAACGACAUUCUGCGACGGACGAAAAAAUAUGUUUUUAAAUAAGUCAAGUUUAUAAUAUAGUCGGUAAGUACCGAUGAGUGUAAAUCACUUCCGAGGACACUGCGUUUUCUCCGUCUUACAGACGUACUCUUACGCAAGCCAAAGAGGAAAUUAAGUUUAGCAGAACUGAUUUUUGUGUUGUUAGUUUUAAUAUUUAAAAUGAAUUUGCCUAUUAUUAAAAAGACAGAAAAUUAAA